AACUAUUAAGUUUAAAACAUAUGUUUUGAAAGCAUAAAAAGGAUUAAAUUCCAAUAGUUU
rnacentral:tRNA from 1 species